UUGAACGCUGGCGGCAGGCCUAACACAUGCAAGUCGAGCGGUAGCACAGAGAACUUGCUCUCGGGUGACGAGCGGCGGACGGGUGAGUAAUGUCUGGGAAACUGCCUGAUGGAGGGGGAUAACUACUGGAAACGGUAGCUAAUACCGCAUAAUGUCGCAAGACCAAAGUGGGGGACCUUCGGGCCUCAUGCCAUCAGAUGUGCCCAGAUGGGAUUAGCUAGUAGGUGGGGUAACGGCUCACCUAGGCGACGAUCCCUAGCUGGUCUGAGAGGAUGACCAGCCACACUGGAACUGAGACACGGUCCAGACUCCUACGGGAGGCAGCAGUGGGGAAUAUUGCACAAUGGGCGCAAGCCUGAUGCAGCCAUGCCGCGUGUGUGAAGAAGGCCUUCGGGUUGUAAAGCACUUUCAGCGGGGAGGAAGGCGGUGAGGUUAAUAACCUCAUCGAUUGACGUUACCCGCAGAAGAAGCACCGGCUAACUCCGUGCCAGCAGCCGCGGUAAUACGGAGGGUGCAAGCGUUAAUCGGAAUUACUGGGCGUAAAGCGCACGCAGGCGGUCUGUCAAGUCGGAUGUGAAAUCCCCGGGCUCAACCUGGGAACUGCAUUCGAAACUGGCAGGCUAGAGUCUUGUAGAGGGGGGUAGAAUUCCAGGUGUAGCGGUGAAAUGCGUAGAGAUCUGGAGGAAUACCGGUGGCGAAGGCGGCCCCCUGGACAAAGACUGACGCUCAGGUGCGAAAGCGUGGGGAGCAAACAGGAUUAGAUACCCUGGUAGUCCACGCCGUAAACGAUGUCGAUUUGGAGGUUGUGCCCUUGAGGCGUGGCUUCCGGAGCUAACGCGUUAAAUCGACCGCCUGGGGAGUACGGCCGCAAGGUUAAAACUCAAAUGAAUUGACGGGGGCCCGCACAAGCGGUAGAGCAUGUGGUUUAAUUCGAUGCAACGCGAAGACCCUUACCUGGUCUUGACAUCCACAGAACUUUCCAGAGAUGGAUUGGUGCCUUCGGGAACUGUGAGACAGGUGCUGCAUGGCUGUCGUCAGCUCGUGUUGUGAAAUGUUGGGUUAAGUCCCGCAACGAGCGCAACCCUUAUCCUUUGUUGCCAGCGGUUAGGCCGGGAACUCAAAGGAGACUGCCAGUGAUAAACUGGAGGAAGGUGGGGAUGACGUCAAGUCAUCAUGGCCCUUACGACCAGGGCUACACACGUGCUACAAUGGCAUAUACAAAGAGAAGCGACCUCGCGAGAGCAAGCGGACCUCAUAAAGUAUGUCGUAGUCCGGAUUGGAGUCUGCAACUCGACUCCAUGAAGUCGGAAUCGCUAGUAAUCGUAGAUCAGAAUGCUACGGUGAAUACGUUCCCGGGCCUUGUACACACCGCCCGUCACACCAUGGGAGUGGGUUGCAAAAGAAGUAGGUAGCUUAACCUUCGGGAGGGCGCUUACCACUUUGUGAUUCAUGACUGGGGUG
rnacentral:rRNA from 1 species